rnacentral:rRNA from 1 species
CUGGCUCAGGAUGAACGCUAGCUACAGGCUUUAACACAUGCAAGUCGAGGGGCAUCAUGAGCUUAGCUUGCUAAGUUUGAUGGCGACCGGCGCACGGGUGAGUAACGCGUAUCCAACCUGGCCCUUAGUAGGGAAUAGCCCGGCGAAAGUCGGAUUAAUGCCCUAUGUUAUCCUUUGAGAGCAUUUGAUUGGGAUUAAAGAUUUAUCGCUAAGGGAUGGGGAUGCGUCCGAUUAGGCAGUAGGCGGGUAACGGCCCACCUAGCCGACGAUCGGUAGGGGUUCUGAGAGGAAGGUCCCCCACAUUGGAACUGAGACACGGUCCAAACUCCUACGGGAGGCAGCAGUGAGGAAUAUUGGUCAAUGGGCGCGAGCCUGAACCAGCCAAGUAGCGUGCGGGAUGACUGCCCUAUGGGUUGUAAACCGCUUUUGCAGGGGGAUAAAGUCGAGGCCACGUGUGCCUUUUGCAUGUACCCUGAGAAUAAGGACCGGCUAAUUCCGUGCC